ACGGGAGGCAGCAGUGAGGAAUAUUGGUCAAUGGGCGGGAGCCUGAACCAGCCAAGUAGCGUGAGGGAUGACGGCCCUAUGGGUUGUAAACCUCUUUUGACAGGGAAUAAAGUGAGCCACGUGUGGUUCAUUGCAUGUACCUGUGGAAUAAGGAUCGGCUAAUUCCGUGCCAGCAGCCGCGGUAAUACGGAAGGUCCGGGCGUUAUCCGGAUUUAUUGGGUUUAAAGGGAGCGUAGGCCGUGCUUUAAGCGUGUUGUGAAAUGUAGGCGCCCAACGUCUGCACUGCAGCGCGAACUGGAGCACUUGAGUACGCAGGAAGUAGGCGGAAUUCGUCGUGUAGCGGUGAAAUGCUUAGAUAUGACGAAGAACUCCGAUUGGGAAGCCAGCUUACUGUAGCGCCACUGACGCUGAUGCUCGAAAGCGUGGGUAUCGAACAGGAUUAGAUACCCUGGUA
rnacentral:rRNA from 1 species